CAUUACAGAGUUCCUGCCCUCACGGGUAGAAACCCCACCCUUGUGUAUGUUAUGUUUGUUGCUUUGACAGGCCGCCUUCGGGCGCUGGCUUCGGCUGUGCUGUGCCUGUCGGAGAACCCCCAACUCUGAAUGUUUGUGUCGUCUGAGUACUAUAUAAUAGUUAAAACUUUCAACAACGGAUCUCUUGGUUCUGGCAUCGAUGAAGAACGCAGCGAAAUGCGAUAAGUAAUGUGAAUUGCAGAAUUCAGUGAAUCAUCGAAUCUUUGAACGCACAUUGCGCCCCUUGGUAUUCCUAGGGGCAUGCCUGUUCGAGCGUCAUUUACACCAACUCCUACCUCGUGUAGGGUCUUGGGCUUCGCCUCCGGGCGGGCCUCAAAAUCAGUGGCGGCGCCAUCUGGCUCUAAGCGUAGUAAAUCUCCUCGCUAUAGAACCCAGAGGGUGGUCCAGCCAGUAACCCCAAAUUUUUUAUGGUUGACCUCGG
rnacentral:rRNA from 1 species